rnacentral:rRNA from 1 species
GAUGAACGCUGGCGGCGUGCCUAAUACAUGCCAGUCGAGCGAACAGACGAGGAGCUUGCUCCUCUGACGUUAGCGGCGGACGGGUGAGUAACACGUGGAUAACCUACCUAUAAGACUGGGAUAACUUCGGGAAACCGGAGCUAAUACCGGAUAAUAUAUUGAACCGCAUGGUUCAAUAGUGAAAGACGGUUUUGCUGUCACUUAUAGAUGGAUCCGCGCCGCAUUAGCUAGUUGGUAAGGUAACGGCUUACCAAGGCAACGAUGCGUAGCCGACCUGAGAGGGUGAUCCGCCACACUGGAACUGAGACACGGUCCAGACUCCUACGGGAGGCAGCAGUAGGGAAUCUUCCGCAAUGGGCGAAAGCCUGACGGAGCAACGCCGCGUGAGUGAUGAAGGUCUUCGGAUCGUAAAACUCUGUUAUUAGGGAAGAACAAAUGUGUAAGUAACUAUGCACGUCUUGACGGUACCUAAUCAGAAAGCCACGGCUAACUACGUG